CCUACGGGGGGCAGCAGUGGGGAAUAUUGCACAAUGGGGGAAACCCUGAUGCAGCAACGCCGCGUGAAGGAAGACGGUUCUCGGAUUGGAAACUUCUGUUCUUAGUGAAGAAUAAUGACGGUAGCUAAGGAGCAAGCCACGACUAACUACGUGCGAGCAGCCGCGGUAAUACGGAGGGGGCAAGCGUUGUCCGGAAUUACUGGGUGUAAAGGGAGCGCAGGGGGGAAGCUAAGUCAGCUGUGAAAGCUACGGGCUUAACUUGUAGACUGCAGUUGAAACUGGGUGUCUGGAGUGAAGUAGAGGUUGGCGGAAUUCGGGGUGUAGCGGUGAAAUGCGUAGAUAUCCGGAGGAACACCGGUGGCGAAGGCGGCCAACUGGGCUUUAACUGACGCUGAGGCUCGAAAGUGUGGGGAGCAAACAGGAUUAGAUACCCUGGUAGUC
rnacentral:rRNA from 1 species